UAAAAUCUAAAACGCAAAAGAAAACAAAAAAAGCAACAAAAACUUUUGCUCGCAUCCUCUCCUCCCAAACCAGAGGUCGCACCGCCGAUCUCGCCGGCCGUUGUCUCCGGCGUCUCGCCCUCGCAAUCGGUUUGUUCUCCUCUCUCUUACGCCAUUAUAAAACUUAGAGAUUCUUUCUUAGUUCCUCAAUCUUCCGAUGGAUAUCAACAAUAAUCACCACCGCUCCGACGACGACGACAACGCUCCGACGACGACGACAACGCUCUCUCAGUCACCGGAUGUCCUGCAUAAACGAUUCGAAGUUUCAGAUCAUUGUCAAAGAUGUGAUCUCAAGAUGGAUCAUCACAGUCUUUGGAUUUUUAAUUGUGAUGCCACUAAAGACGCCCAUGGAAUCUGCUUGUUAAUUGAGUGGGAUGAAUGUAAGACGCUUGACUAUGAGAGGAUUUUUGAAAAGAUGCAGAAACCAGCGUUUG